rnacentral:rRNA from 1 species
UACGUAGGGUGCGAGCGUUGUCCGGAAUUAUUGGGCGUAAAGAGCUCGUAGGCGGUCUGUCGCGUCGGUCGUGAAAAACCUGCAGCUUAACUGUGGGCGUGCGGUCGAUACGGGCAUGACUGGAGUUCGGCAGGGGAGACUGGAACUCCUGGUGUAGCGGUGAAAUGCGCAGAUAUCAGGAGGAACACCGGUGGCGAAAGGCGGUUCUCUGGGACGGUACUGACGCUGAGACGCGAAAGCGUGGGGGAGCGAACAGG